AACAAAAGGAAAAAAAGUAGAGUGUACCUUACAUGGACUGCUGAGAUGGACACGACAUUGUUGGUUGCCCUUGUUGAGCAUCACAACAAUGUUGACCAUGCUCAAAAUGGUUGGAAGCCACAUGUGUAUAAUGCUUGCAUUAAGCAUGUCAAGGAUACAUGUGAUGUUGACAUUACGAAGGAAAACAUAACAGGAAGAAUCAAAACAUUUGACAAGCAGUAUGAGAUCAUUACCAAGAUGCUUGCUCAGAGUGGCUUUGGAUUGGAUUGGGUAAAGAACAUGGUGUCGGUUGAUAGUGACGAAGUGUGGUCUCGAUAUGUGGAGGCUAACAAGGACACACAUGCCUAUAGGAAAAAGGUAGUGCUCAAUUGGGAGUCUAUCAAUACCAUAUAUUCAAAAGAUCAUGCAACCGGUGUAGGUGCUAGGACAGGAGCUGCAUGUGUUCAAGAACCACAAGAAACACCCGUUGUUGAAGAAUCUCCUGAGGUGCCUCAAAAGAGGGAACGCACCGAUGCUAUCUUGUGCAUGAUGGGAAAGAUGAAGAUGUAUUUUGAUGACACUUUGAAGACAACCGAGCCACUUCCUAUGCUAAAGGUGACUCCUCCAACAGAAAUCCUUGCCGCACUAAAGCAGGUACCAGAUUUGGAGGAUAGUGAUAUGCCGAGAGCUUAUGGAAAGUUGAUCGUCAAUGAGCGUUUGUUUGAAGCACUCAUGGCGCUACCUGAGGAGUUAAGGAAGCCAUGGGUCUUGACCAUCGAUUGA
rnacentral:rRNA from 1 species